AGAGGGCUGCUGAAGUAUCAAACUAAUUUAGAUACCAACCCUCCCGGCUGUAUCAGUCUUAACUGAACCAGCUCUCAGAAUAUUUCCUUACCAGAGUAUAUCUCAGAACAUUUUCAUGAACCUUUCCCUGAAGGAUUUUCAAAACUGGAAGAGUUUACCCAGAACACAUUUGUGAAGAUUUGUAUGGAAGAGCCCAGAUUCCAAGCUAAUUUUCCACAGGUCAGAUUAAAUUUGUCUUAGACUUGGCUUUGGAUUUCUGGACCUUUGUGCCUGUACUGUGCUGAAAGACUUUACAGGUAUAUGCGGAGCAAUAAGCCAGUCACCAUCAUUUUGGUCAUAAGUCAUCCCUCAGAUGUCAUGGAAAUCCGGAUGGUCAAAGAAAAUUUUAAAGCAAGACCUGGUCAGUAUAUUACUCUACAUUGUCCCAGUAUAUCUGCAUUAGAAAAUCAUCCAUUUACCCUCACAAUGGUAAGAAACACAGAACGAUUUCGAGAUUUACUACUGCCUCCAUCUAGUCAAGACUCCGAAAUUCUGCCCUUCAUUCAAUCUAGAAAUUAUCCCAAGAGGCUGUAUAUUGAUGGUCCUUUUGGAAGUCCAUUUGAGGAAUCACUGAACUAUGAGGUCAGCCUCUGCAUGGCUGGAGUCAUUGGAGUAACUCCAUUUGCAUAAAUACUCAACACCCUGUUGGAUGACUGGAAACCAUACAAGCUUAGAAGACUAUACUUUAUUUGGGCAUGCAGAGAUAUCCAGUCCUUCCAUUGGUUUGCAGACUUACUCUGUAUGUUGCAUAACAAGCAGAAGAUAAUUGGAGAAAAAUAUCAUGCACUGAAUUCAAGACUGUUUCUUGGACGUCCUCGGUGGAAACUUUUGUUUGAUGAAAUAGCAAAAUAUAACAGAGGGUAAGUACUAUGUUCUAGGAAAACAGUUGGUGUUUUCUGUUGUGGACCCAAUUCACUAUCUAAGACUCUUCAUAAACUGAGAAACCAGAACAACUCAUAUGGGACGAGAUUUGAAUACAAUAAAGAGUCUUUCAGC
rnacentral:lncRNA from 1 species